rnacentral:rRNA from 1 species
GACCUCACCUUGGCUGACCCCUCGCGCAGCCGAGCGGCUGAUUGAGCAGACGCGCAGCAAGGCAACAGCCACAACGGUCAGCCUGUGCCGGCACAAACAGCCAUGUGGUUGCCCAUCGCUGACACAAACCGGCUUUGAUCAACUCUCUCUGGCAAUCGAUCGACGAUCACUGUCACAGGUCACACGAACCCCUCGCGCGUCGGCCUUGCCGUAAGAACAGUUCCGAUAUAUCGUUGAGGCAUCGCGACCGAUUGCGAACGGAAGGAGCGUUGCGAUGCGUAUCCACGGACACGAGCACGAGCAUGAGCACGGACUGGGGCACGGGCGGCAGUUCGGCUCCCACCGCGGAGGGCGCGGCCCUGAGGGGUUCGAGCGUUGGGGCGGGGGCCUGCGUGGGCCUGACGGUGACGACCGGCGGCGUAUGGCCUUCGGGCCGCUCGGGCCCGGCUUCGGGCCCGGCGGGCCCUGGGGCGGGCGCGGGCGUGGCGGCGGCCGGGGGAGGGCGCGGCGCGGUGACGUGCGCGCCUCGAUCCUGGCGCUGCUCGCCGACCGGCCGAUGCACGGCUACGAGAUGAUCCAGGAGAUCGCCGAACGCAGUGGCGGCGCCUGGAAGCCCAGCCCCGGAUCGGUGUACCCGACCCUUCAGUUGCUGGAGGACGAGGGGCUCAUCGCCAGUGAGAGCAGCGGCGGCAAGAAGCUGUUCGCGCUCACCGAGGAGGGCCGGACCGCCGCCGAGGCGGGGCCGGACGCCCCCUGGGAAGAGGUCGGCCGGGGAGUCGACUGGGAGAGCGUCAACGAGAUCCGCCAGGCCGGUGCCGGGCUGAUGGAGGCGUUCGGCCAGGUCUGGAAGACCGGCACCAAGGAGCAGCAGGAGAAGGCGCUCGCCGUCGUCAACGACGCCCGCAAGCGGCUCUACCUGAUCCUCGCCGACCAGGACUGACCCCGCGGCGCGCCACGGGGGCGCGCGGAACGACCCGCACGCCUCCCGCGCGCGCCAGGCCGCCCCUCCUCCGCAGGGAGGAGGGGCGGCCGCGUCAUGCCCACCCUGUGUCGGACGCGCGAAUGCGUCCCCCCGGGGAUGUGGACGAAGCGCCCGAAUGGUGAGGUGGUGGGUGUGCACCGCCCUCUCCCCACCUCGGACCCCGGACCCGUCCCGGCCCACGGUUCCCCGCGGCCCGAGCUGGCCAACGCCCUGGCGGGCGCGCGCCGCCGCGCCCAGCGGGACGGCGACGGCCAGGCCGACACCGCGCACCUGCUCCACGCCCUGCUGGAGCACGACCCCGCCAGCCGCGAGGCCGUCGACGCCUGCGAGCAGGGCGGCGAACAACUGGUGAAGCUCCUCGGCCUGCUGGUCCAGCGGAACAUCGGCUACGGGCUCAAGUGGCACGGCUCCGUCGAGGACUCCGGCGCGGUGCCGAUGGCGCGGUCCGACGGCUGGUCGCCCGCCGCGGCCGGGGCGCUGGAGGCCGCCCGGGAGCGGGCCUACGCCCGGGGCGACCGGCCGGCGGGCCCCGAUCUGCUGGCCGGGCUGGUCG